UCAACCGGGGAAGGGAGCGCGCUCAUUCAAGAACCCGCGCGCCGCGGCGCAGACCCCAGGACGCAGCGCGACCGCGCGCCGCCUAGCUGGGGGCUUUGAGGAAGCGCGUGCGGGCCCAGAGCCAACCCGGUGCGGGUGUGGACCUUCUGCAUCCCACCUCCGGAGAGGACCCGGGCAGGAGGCGGGCGCACCCAGAAAUGGGUCGGGACGCCCUCCGCAAAAGGCAGGUGGAAAGGAACUGCAGCUGCAGGAAUAGCCACGGAGGGAGCCUGAACUGGAGUGGGUGAGAAGGCGGAGAAGCUUCCGGUGAAGAUGAAUCUGAGCUUUCCCAAAAGGAGCCGGGCCUGGGACACCCUCCUGGACCCUGCCUGGUCUGAGACCUCUCUCCUCUGAUUCCUGGUUGCUGCAGCCAGGCUCCAAAUCCACCCACCAGCAAAUUCCCAUGCACGCUUCAAGGAAAAAAAAAAAGCCUCAGUAAAGCCCAGGAUGGUGGCAG